UACGAAGGGGGCUAGCGUUGCUCGGAAUUACUGGGCGUAAAGCGCACGUAGGCGGCCUGUUAAGUCGGGGGUGAAAUCCUGGAGCUCAACUCCAGAACUGCCUUCGAUACUGGCGGUCUCGAGUUCGGGAGAGGUGAGUGGAACUGCGAGUGUAGAGGUGAAAUUCGUAGAUAUUCGCAAGAACACCAGUGGCGAAGGCGGCUCACUGGCCCGAUACUGACGCUGAGGUGCGAAAGCGUGGGGAGCAAACAGG
rnacentral:rRNA from 1 species